rnacentral:rRNA from 1 species
UACGGAAGGCAGCAGUGGGGAAUAUUGCACAAUGGGCGCAAGCCCGAUGCAGCCAUGCCGCGUGUAUGAAGAAGGCCUUCGGGUUGUAAAGUACUUUCAGUCGUGAGGAAGGUGUUAAGGUUAAUAACCUUAAGCAAUUGACGUUAGCGACAGAAGAAGCACCGGCUAACUCCGUGCCAGCAGCCGCGGUAAUACGGAGGGUGCGAGCGUUAAUCGGAAUUACUGGGCGUAAAGGGCACGCAGGCGGUUAAUUAAGUUGGAUGUGAAAUCCCCGGGCUUAACCUGGGAAUGGCAUUCAAGACUGGUUAGCUAGAGUCUUGUAGAGGGGGGUAGAAUUCCAUGUGUAGCGGUGAAAUGCGUAGAGAUGUGGAGGAAUACCGGUGGCGAAAGGCGGCCCCCUGGGACAAAGACUGACGCUCAUGUGCGAAAGCGUGGGGAGCAAAACAGGGAUUAGAUACC